GUGAGUGGACUGCGAUGAAGAAUGCCGCAGGGUCUCUGGCUGCACCGCGUCCUGGCUCCUGUUCGUCCCCAGCAACACCUAAGAGUGAAGACACGCGUGUGUAUCUCUCCUGAAGCAGCAUGAAAACUUGAGCUGCCUUUAGAUUCGCCCGUAGGUGGCUUUAUUUAUUUAUUUGUGUAUUUUAGGAGCUGGUGGGGGGUGGGGAGCAUUUCGGGACUGUGGGAACCUCCAGCUCGCACAGGGGGCUUCUCGUCGGUGGCUAGCAUCACGGCCAUCGCGAGAACACUGCCGCCCUAAUGACGGCCUCCUUAGGUGGGAAAAGGCGUAAAGAUAAACACAGAAUGCAGCAGGAAAACUCGGUGAAUGGCAGGUGCAGGCUCCAAGAACUCUCUGAUAAAACGGAACGCUUUAGAAAACGUUUAUGGGGCUUUUAGGAACUGUGAGUCUGUCAAGUGUUAAGAAGCGGCACGCAGUGGGUGACAGAGGAUGCAUUAGGAAAAAGUGGGCUGAUGGCUCCCCCAAACCUGCAGAGCCCCUCCUGGGGCCUUGCCGCAGCCCCUGGAAAGCAGACGCCAAAGCCCCUCCAUUUGGACUGAGUUUGGAAUUAGCACAUGACUUUGAGGUUUCCAAACACUGGAGGCUCGGUUCUUACUCCUCUUCCCUGCCUUAGGCGCGGUCCCAGGGCAUCAUCGCCUGCGGGUGUCAUUUGCUUCAGUUCACCCCGACGGACACCAGGGGUCGCGCACCUAGGGGUGGAUGGAUGGCCGCCCCUCAUGAGGAGGAUGUGUGCUGUGAGGCCGGGGCAGCACCUUCAGGGUAGACCCGUCCCCACGCGGCCAGAGAGGUCCCCACGUGGCCAGAGAGAGCCAUGUCUGCAGCUGUGCUGGGACUACCACCCUGCACCCGCUCCACCCAGGGAAGGUUGUCGGUGUGGCACUGCGGCUGCAGCCGCCUUCGCUUCCCGGCCGGCGGGCUUCACUGUGGUUCAGUAGGGCACUCAGGACAAGGGGCUCUUCUGAACACUCCCCCCCGCCCCAAGGGCCACCAUGGGACACUGCACAAGGGCUGCCCUGUCUGUCCUGCCCCUGGAGCGCCCCCUGCGGAGCUCCACUGCAGGGGGCCAAGACCCAGGAAGGGGCUGUCAACCUUCCCUGGAGCAGGUGCAGUCGGAGCACGCGCCCUGGGCUGCUGGCUGCCAGGGGCCCCGCGAGGGCUGCCCGCCCCAACCGCUCGGCCUCCUUGGGCCCGCUCCCGGUGCCCCCUGAAUCUAGGUGCUGAACCCAGCACAGCCAGACCCCCUGAUGCCUGCACGUUCUCAGUCUCCGAAGCGUGAGAGUACUGAUGCAAAGAAGGCGUCAGGACAUGAACCGUGGGAGGGCAGCCUGACUCUGUGCCACGUGGCACUGCCUGGGCUGCACAGGAGAACGUGGCCGUACACUGCGUGGGGUUCAGUAAUAUCCUUGGCUUCAGGCACUCCCUGGGGUCCUGGCUGCGCCCCAGGUAGGAGGAGAACUGUACGAAUUUCUUCCUCCAUGUAUUGUGCUUCUAGCUAUUGUAUCAUCAAACCCAAGGAUUUCCAAUCGGUUUUCUUCCUUUGUAUUUUGUAUCUGUUACUGAUGUUGAGUUAAUAUUUAUUGUGGAUGUGUCUUACCUAUGUCUGGAUUCUCAUUUAUUUAUUUAUUUAUUUCUGUUUUGUUGAAAAGAUGACCCUUUAUCCGCUGAGUUGUCUUUCCCCUUGGCCAAAGGUUGGUUGGGUGAACUGGCACUGCUGUGUUUAUGCACUGUCUACUCUGUGGCUUGUAGAUUCUGGAAACUGGAAAUGGACCUCACUCCUCCCUCUGCCUCUCCGCCUGCACCUGGCAAGACCAACGUGAAUUCCAAAUUCUCCGUCCUUUGGUACUGGUGCAAAGUUCAACCUUGCAAACCACUCGGCACUCAGGACCCCUGCCUGAGGCUGUGGUCUCAGCCACCAUGGGGGCUAAGCU
rnacentral:lncRNA from 1 species